CUUCCGGGCCUCAGGAAAAAGGCAGAAAUGGAGGAGAGAGAAAAAAGGAACAUCCUUCCCGCCUGCUAGUGGAGUAGAUCCCAGGGGUUGGUUGUUAUCUUUGGUUAUCUAGCUGUAUGAGUGGGGUCAAGUCUUCAUAAAGCUAGAUAACCGAAAGUAAAAAUAACCCCAUUACACGCCUGGGGAGGAGGAAGACAAGGAGGAGGAAGGCCACCGAAAGCAAGCAAGCAAGGAAAUGCCACCAUUUUAACAAAAGAAGUUUUUGAACAGAAUGGCUGGCAAGGAUGGAUUGAAAAACCAGUCCUUGAGGAUGAAAGAAAUCAACCGAAUGGAAGAGAUGGAGGAAAGAGAGAAGACAAAGACGAUUCACAGCAAUCGAGAAAUUAGAGGCCAACACCCCAGAAGGAGAGAGAAAGAGAGAGACAGAGAGAGGACAGGGAGAGAAACACACCACCGUCCCCUCUAGCAGCCUGAGAGGGAGGAUGAGGACCCAUGUUAAGCAUCACUCUCCAACGUGACCUCCCGGCUGAGUCCCGCGACAUGUUCCUGCCAGGAUCUAACCAUCUCCAGCGCCUGGGGCAUCUGACUCCUCUGGGGGCGCAGAACCUACAAGACUGCAUUAAAGCGCCAGAUGUGAGAUGAGGAAAGCUGGAGGGGCACCCCUUCUAUCCCAGGCUAUUUUGGAAAGUUUCCUGUAUGGCGGAUCAAGCGGAGAGAUGUCACUGCUGUCCUUUCAGGCUGGAGACUGGGAUUUGAACCCUGGUCUCCUGAGCUCUCAGCCACCGGUCAGUCAACUCUGCCACCUUCUCUCCACUGUGACCCCCCCCCCAGGGGCCAAGUCGGGUUACAAAAAACUGCAAAGCUGGAAGGCCUUCCCAGGGAUCAUCCUUGCAGAGGGAGGCCAUCCACAGCCAUCCCUAGUGGAGGGCCCCCCAACCUGCGUGUGGGGAGGCCCCCCACGGAGCAACCUCUCCACCUGGACACUCAUUGGGGUCAGGUCCAUGUCGUCGGGAGGCAGGCGUGCAAUCCCAAGAUGCCAACAGCUCCCUUUUAUUCCUGGGGGGGGGGGGAAGGAACAGGAUGUCAGUGUGUGGACAUCCUGCCUCCAUCAGCCUCCACACUUUGGGACCCACGGAGGCCCCUUGUCCUUCCCCCACCACCUCCAAUUGUGCCUUUACCUGCUAUCGUAUUAUUAGCUGAUGGGCGUCUCCAUUAUACACCUGUGUCCCAUUUUAAAAAAAAUACAUAAAAAUAAAAAAUCAACAUGACUCCUUGGGGCGGCUUCA
rnacentral:lncRNA from 1 species